GCCCUACCCAGUAUGGUGGUUAUGAUACUCGGUUUUUAAUCGAGUUGGCUCGGGUUCGAAUUCCGAAUAAGGCA